UGGCAUAGUGGUCACUGCACUCGCUUUGCACGCGGGAGACCCGGGUUCGAUUCCCGG
rnacentral:tRNA from 1 species